GAUGAACGCUAGCGAUAGGCUUAACACAUGCAAGUCGAGGGACCGGCGCACGGGUGCGUAACGCGUAUGUAACUUGCCUCACAGAGGGGGAUAACCCGUCGCAAGACGGACUAAUACCGCGUACUGUGAGAUCGGCAUGCGUCCCAUUAGCUAGUUGGUGAGGUAACGGCUCACCAAGGCAACGAUGGGUAGGGGAACUGAGAGGUGGAACCCCCACACUGGUACUGGGACACGGACCAGACUCCGACGGGAGGCAGCGGUGAGGGAUAUUGGGCAAUGGGCGAGAGCCUGAACCAGCCAAGUCGCGUGAAGGAUGACUGUCUAUGGAUUGUAAACUUCUUUUGUAGGGGAAUAUGUACCCUACGAAUAAGCAUCGGCUAACUCCGUGCCAGCAGCCGCGGUAAUUC
rnacentral:rRNA from 1 species